ACGAGCCACAUGCAGGGAAACUUGCACGUGUGGUUCUGGCCGUCAAUAUUCUUUUCACCUUCUUCAUUGAGGC
rnacentral:ribozyme from 1 species